UACGAGGGGGGCGAGCGUUGUUCGGAAUUACUGGGCGUAAAGCGUGCGCAGGCGGUUUUCCAAGACAGAUGUGAAAUCCCCGGGCUCAACCUGGGAAUGGCAUUUGUGACUGGAAGGCUAGAGUGUGUCAGAGGGGGGUAGGAAUUCCACGUGUAGCAGUGAAAUGCGUAGAGAUGUGGAGGAAUACCGAUGGCGAAGGCAGCCCCCUGGGAUAACACUGACGCUCAUGCACGAAAGCGUGGGGAGCAAACAGG
rnacentral:rRNA from 1 species